rnacentral:snRNA from 1 species
GUGCUCACUUUGGCAGUACAUAUACUAAAAUUGGAACGAUACAGAGAAAAUUAGCAUGGCCCCUGUGCAAGGAUGAUUUGCAAAUUCAUGAAGAAUUCCUACUUUUC